rnacentral:rRNA from 1 species
CCUACGGGAGGCAGCAGUGAGGAAUAUUGGUCAAUGGCCGCAAGGCUGAACCAGCCAAGCAGCGUGAGGGAAGACGGCCCUAUGGGUUGUAAACUUCUUUUGUGCGGGGGUAAAGGUGUCCACGUGUGUAUGUUUGCAGGUAUCGCAUGAAUAAGGACCGGCUAAUUCCGUGCCAGCAGCCGCGGUAAUACGGAGGGUCCGGGCGUUAUCCGGAUUUAUUGGGUUUAAAGGGUGCGUAGGCGGGCCGUUAAGCGUGCCGUGAAAUUUUGUGGCUCAACUAUGGGAGUGCGGCGGGUACUGGAGACCUAGAGUGCAGUGAAGGUAGGCGGAAUGCGUGGUGUAGCGGGGAAAUGCUUAGAGAUCACGAAGAACACCGAUUGCGAAGGCAGCCUGCCGAAGCGUUACUGACGCUGAGGCUCGAAAGCGUGGGUAUCGAACAGGAUUAGAUACCCUUGUAGUC